GGUCAUGGGCCGCGUGAAGAUAUUAAACGUAUAAUGGAAACGUGUAUGGCUGCAACAAACAUGUUGAAUGGAAAGAAACAAAAUCGUCCACCGAAAUGGACUACAUGUUCGUGUGCUAUACAAAAAGGAACUACCGAAUGUGGUUAUUAUGUGAUGAAAUUAAUGUUGGAAAUUGUUUCCAAUAACCUAGGCAAAGGAAUG